rnacentral:rRNA from 1 species
CCCUGGUGAAUGGCGGCCGUAACAAUAACGGUCCUAAGGUAGCGAAAUUCCUUGUCGGGUAAGUUCCGACCUGCACGAAUGGCGUAACGACGGCCACGCUGUCUCCACCCAAGGCUCAGUGAAAUUGAAAUUGCUGUGAAGAUGCAGUAUACCCGCGGCUAGACGGAAAGACCCCGUGAACCUUUACUACAGCUUUGCACUGGACUUUGACUAUACUUGUGUAGGAUAGGUGGGAGACUAUGAAGCUUUAACGCCAGUUAGAGUGGAGUCACCCUUGAAAUACCACCCUAUUAUAUUUGAAGUUCUAACCUAGGUCCUGAAACGGGAUUGGGAACAGUGCAUGGUGGGUAGUUUGACUGGGGCGGUCUCCUCCCAAAGAGUAACGGAGGAGCACGAAGGUAUCCUAGGUACGGUUGGAAAUCGUACUGUUAGUGUAAAGGCAUAAGGAUGCUUGACUGAGAGCGUGACGAUGCGAUCAGGAACGAAAGUUGGUCUUAGUGAUCCGGUGGUUCUGAAUGGAAGGGCCAUCGCUCAACGGAUAAAAGGUACUCCGGGGAUAACAGGCUUAUCGCCACCAAGAGUUCAUAUCGACGUGGCGGUUUGGCACCUCGAUGUCGGCUCAUCGCAUCCUGGGGCUGAAGAAGGUCCCAAGGGUUUGGCUGUUCGCCAAUUAAAGCGGUACGCGAGCUGGGUUCAAAACGUCGUGAGACAGUUUGGUCCCUAUCUGCUGUGGGCGUAGGAUACUUGAGAAGAGCUGCUUCUAGUACGAGAGGACCGAAGUGGACGGACCAAUGGUGUUCCGGUUGUCCUGCCAAGGGCAUCGCCGGGUAGCUAAGUUCGGAAAGGAUAAGCGUUGAAAGCAUCUAAACGCCAAGCCCCCUUCAAGAUAAAGUAUCCCUAUGAGAUGACCUGAAGACGACAGGGUUGAUAGGCUGGGUGUGGAAGCGUAGCAAUACGUUGAGCUAACCAGUACUAAUACAUCCAUCGGCUUCACCAA